rfam:Citrus sinensis cultivar Ridge Pineapple sweet orange scaffold04340_contig_1, whole genome shotgun sequence.
GAGAAAAGAGUCUGUCAAGUUAGCCAAGAUAACUGCCUAACACCCAUCAAGGGUCUUAAUGAGAUAAUUGAAUUUAACUAAUCGACAUUUUGAAGCCACUCGCAAGAGAUGAGGCAAGUCAUCCUUGGCUACUAAACAAGACUCAUUUAA